CCUACGGGUGGCUGCAGUCGAGAAUCUUCGGCAAUGGGCGAAAGCCUGACCGAGCGACGCCGCGUGUGGGAUGAAGGCCCUCGGGUUGUAAACCACUGUCGUAGGGGAGGAAGGCUCCGUGAAGAACGGGGUUUGACCUAUCCUAGGAGGAAGUCCGGGCUAAGUUCGUGCCAGCAGCCGCGGUAAGACGAACCGGACAAACGUUAUUCGGAAUUACUGGGCUUAAAGGGUUUGUAGGCGGCCUUGUAAGUCAGGUGUGAAAUCCCUCGGCUCAACCGAGGAAUAGCGCUUGAUACUGCAAGGCUUGAGGGAGACAGGGGUAAGCGGAACUGAUGGUGGAGCGGUGAAAUGCGUUGAUAUCAUCAGGAACACCGGUGGCGAAAGCGGCUUACUGGGUCUCUUCUGACGCUGAGGAACGAAAGCUAGGGGAGCGAACGGGA
rnacentral:rRNA from 1 species